rnacentral:pre_miRNA from 1 species
AUACAAAUGACCUGGAAAUCUUAUUUAAAUGCAGAUUCUGAUUUAAUAGAUCUUGAAUGGGGCCUAAGAUUCUCAUUUCCGACAGGCUUCUAGGUGACAUUAAU